rnacentral:rRNA from 1 species
CACGAACCGUACGAACGUUAUUCGGAAUUACUGGGCUUAAAGGGUUUGUAGGCGGCCAUGUAAGUCAGGUGUGAAAUCCCUCGGCUCAACCGAGGAACGGCGCUUGAUACUGCAUGGCUUGAGGGAGACAGGGGUAAGCGGAACUGAUGGUGGAGCGGUGAAAUGCGUUGAUAUCAUCAGGAACACCGGUGGCGAAAGCGACUUACUGGGUCUCUUCUGACGCUGAGGAACGAAAGCUAGGGUAGCGAACGGG